UAGUAUUAGUAUAUAGAUAUAUUUUCAGCAUUUUAGCUAAAAUAGUUUAUGAGAUUGGUAUAAAUCUUCAUUUUGAUCCUUGAGAUUUAAAAUCGAUAGAACUGAUCCCUGAGUUUGUCCAUCAUGAAUCAUUUUGAUCAUUCCGUGAAAAUAUUUGUUUAAAUAAGGAUCAAAAUGACAAAUACCCUCAAUUUAAUGAACAAUGAGUCAAAAUGAGUUAACAAAAAGUAGGAGUUUUGUGUCAAUUUAUUUUAUCACAGAAAGACUAAAAUGAUUGACGGUAAAUAAACUCAAUGACCCGUUAUAUCGAUUUUAAAUCUCAAGAACUAAGUAAUGAAUUAUACCAAUGUCAAAGACCAGAGUGAGAACUUGUACCAAUUCCUAAGAAAUUUUGACUAAAAAACCUAUAUUUUCUUAGGGUCAAUCUCAGUUUACUAUCCUAAAGUUUCUUGAUUUUCAACAUUUAGUAUAUAAAGUUUUUUUCAUCCAAGAGUGGUACAUAAAAUUAUAAUUUUGGAACACUUUUAUACAUCCAUUAAGGUUGCUAUUAAAUUUGCCGUUAACUAAUGACGUGACAUCCAUGUGAACAAUGAUUUAGCACCAUGUGGAUAUUAAAAAAAAAUUAAAAAAUUAAAAAAAAAAAAAACUUUUGCUCUUCUCCCUCAUCCCUUCCGACUCGCUUCCCUUCUCUACUCCGCAACCACCCUUCCCCCUCCCUCUUCGCGCCAGUCAAUCAAAAGUCGGAUACCGAAACGCCUCAUCGUUUAACAUCCACCCUCGUCUACUUUUUGGUUUCUUCUUCUCCUCCCAAAUCUCUCUUUCUUCCUCUCACAGUUCAUUGCCAUGGCCUUCCGGCUCGCCGUCGACCACCACAACCCCAACCCUAACCCUAACCACCUCCACCUUGAAUCCCUCCCUCUCAUUGACCUCGACCUCCUCUCUCAAUCAGACCUCUACUCUCUCUCCCUCACCUCAUCCUCCUCCCCUUCUCAAUCCCACCCCACCCGCCGCUUCGACGAUGACGUAUUGAUCCCCAAAAUCGACCGUUCCGUCUUCAACGAAUCCACCAUUCCCACUCCCUCUCCAAGUCCACAUUCUCCUAAACCCUAUCAGGCUCCGGAUCUCCUCCUGGACCCACGGCACCGUUCUUCGGGUUCCUAGGCGCCGGUGCGGCCCUCGUCUUCUCCUGUAUGGGAGCGGCGUAUGGGACGGCAAAGAGCAGAGUAGGAGUGGCGUCGAUGGGAGUGACGAGGCCGGAGCUGGUGAUGAAGUCGAUCGUGCCGGUAGUUAUGGCGGGAGUGUUGGGUAUUUACGGACUCAUCAUCGCCGUCAUCAUCAGUACCGGUAUCAACCCCGAGGCUAAGUCCUAUUACCUUUUCGAUGGCUAUGCUCAUCCUUCGAUGGAGUGGGUGGAGUCGAAGAGGGAGGAGGAAUGGUGGGUGCAGAGAAGGGAUGGGGGUUGGAAGGGGUGAGGGAGAAGACCAAAAGUUUUUUUUAUUUUUUUAUAUUCACGUAACGUUUAAUCAUUGUUCAUGCGGAUAUUACGUCAUUAUUUAACAAUAAAUUUACCAGUAACUUUAACA